GUAGGUGGCAAGCGUUGUCCGGAAUUAUUGGGCGUAAAGCGCGCGCAGGCGGUCCUUUAAGUCUGAUGUGAAAGCCCACGGCUCAACCGUGGAGGGUCAUUGGAAACUGGGGGACUUGAGUACAGAAGAGGAAAGCGGAAUUCCAAGUGUAGCGGUGAAAUGCGUAGAGAUUUGGAGGAACACCAGUGGCGAAGGCGGCUUUCUGGUCUGUAACUGACGCUGAGGCGCGAAAGCGUGGGGAGCAAACAGGGAUUAGAUACCCUGGUAGUCCACGCCGUAAACGAUGAGUGCUAAGUGUUAGGGGGUUUCCCGCCCCCUUAGUGCUGCAGCUGACGCAUUAAGCACUCCGCCUGGGGAGUACGGCCGCAAGGCUG
rnacentral:rRNA from 1 species